rnacentral:rRNA from 2 species
UUUAUUGGAGAGUUUGAUCCUGGCUCAGGACGAACGCUGGCGGCGUGCCUAAUACAUGCAAGUCGAGCGGACCUUUCAAGAGCUUGCUCUCGAAAGGUUAGCGGCGGACGGGUGAGUAACACGUGGGCAACCUGCCCUGUAGACUGGGAUAACUUCGGGAAACCGGAGCUAAUACCAGAUAAUCAAUAACACCACAUGGUGUUAUUGUAAAAGUUGGGAAUUCUAACACUAUGGGAUGGGCCCGCGGCGCAUUAGUUAGUUGGUGAGGUAACGGCUCACCAAGGCGACGAUGCGUAGCCGACCUGAGAGGGUGAUCGGCCACACUGGGACUGAGACACGGCCCAGACUCCUACGGGAGGCAGCAGUAGGGAAUCUUCCGCAAUGGACGAAAGUCUGACGGAGCAACGCCGCGUGAGUGAUGAAGGCCUUCGGGUCGUAAAGCUCUGCUG